AGCUUUGCGCAGUGGCAGUGUCGUAGCCAAUGAGGUUUAUCCGAGGCGCGAUUAUGGCUAAUUGAAAACUGGCCUUGUUGACCCAGACAAAACCCAUCUCUAUUUGUGAUUCCUCUUCUCCCCUCCCCAUCCCUUCUGUUUACAUAAAGGAGAGGUUUUCUUUUGUUUUCAUUUAUUUUUAGUUUUUGCUAGAA
rnacentral:snRNA from 1 species